UGAUUAGCCUUUGCUUAUGCAAAGAGGAAUCUACAAAGGUAUAAAUUUCAACUCACUUUGUUUUGAGUUGAGUAUUGGUUCACCAAUCUACUAGGCUUUGAAUUUCAUGGGUAAUGUUUUGUUUUUGAGUGCAUGCAAGCAUGAUUCCGCCUUUAAUUGUUAAUUGCAUGCUAAUAGAUGUUGCUCAAAUGAACAUGUUUUCACAAAAUUUUCCUUCAAGUGGUAUCAGAGCCUAGGUCUAGUAGUUGGUGAAUCCUUUUGGGUUUUGUAGUUCAUAGUUUGUGAUUUAAAAGUUGUAAUAUGUUACAAGCUUUAUUCUUGUUUCUUUGAAUGUAAAUUUUGUUAGAAAAUUUUCCAUCUCAAAUGUUGUAGAUGUAGUUCAUAUGAGCAUGAAUAUUGGAGCUAAAAUUUGGUGCCAUGCUUUUGGGAAAAUUCGGCCAAAUCCAAAGGGUGGAUUUUUGGGUUCUUGUUUGACUUGUUAAAAGUGUUUUAAAGUGUUUUUUGGAACCCCUAUGUACCCUAGUUUGGUUAUAUGUUAUUGCCCAAAAGUUUAAAUGUUUUUGGGAUGUUUUUGGAUGAAAAAUGUUCAUGGAAAUUUUUUGGGUUUUUCAUGAAUGUUCUUCAUUGUUCUUGACAUUUUUGCCAAGAACAAAAAGUUUGGUGUUUUGAUUCAAAGUUUUGAUUUAUUUCAUAAAGUUUUUGUUUUAUGAUUUAUCAAAUAUUUAAAUGUGUUAGAUAUUUAUUUGAAAGGUGAUUGAAAUUGUGUAAGGUGAUAGAAAUGUUGAUGGAUGUGUGAAGUACUUCUCUUACACACACACCAACUUAUUUCCACUUGCAUGGUUCCACUUGCAUGGUUCCACUUGCAAGGCUUUAUGAAUUUGUUGAAAAAUUUCCAAAUUUUUGUGGACUUAUCUCCACUUUAUUUUCUCCCUAAAACCGGCCACCCUAUUAAAAUAGGGUAUUUUUGGGGCUUUUAUGCAAUUACAUAAAGUUUUGAUAUUUUUGUGUAUUUGUAUUUUGACCCGAAAGUUUACGUUUUGACGUUAAGGCCUAAAAACGCUAAAGGACAAAUUGUUUUGUUCCUUUGAUGAAGUUUUGAAUUUAUUGAAAUUUUUGGGUUCUAGUUGUAAUUACAUGAAGUAGUGGACUUUUGUGUUUUUACAAAGUGACCCCAAAAGUUUGUGUUUUCGCAAUAUAGCCCAAAAGUUGUGGUUAUUGCAUGAUGGCCCAAAUUAGGUUGAGAACAAAAUUGUUUUGUCUCUUUAAAUGAGAAUUGGAUUUUCAUUUUAUUUAGCUCCAUUUAAAUCAAUUUUAUGGAUACAAAAACCAAAUGAAAAUGUUGCAUUCAAUUUAAUUAGUUAAAGUGUUAAUUAAUUAAAGGGUGAUUAUGAACCUAAGCCUACGAUAAUUGAGCUAUGUGAUAGGCCGUUUCAAAUUUGUUUGAACCAUGGGAAUGUGUAGAUUAGAUUUUGGUUGUAAUUUGAUUUGAUCAAAUGUUGUAAAAGAGCAUAAGCUCUUCUUUACUUUAAAGUAAUUUGUAUUAUGCAAAUGUUGUAAUGAGCAUAAGCUCACAUUUACUUUGAAGUACUUCUUUCUUGCUUUAUAUGAUAUGCAUGAAAAUGAAGUAGUUGGGUCCAACGCCCCUAAGACAACACGCCUUAAUGUGAUUAAACGCGUAACUAAAAUCAAUCACCAUCCCUAGACCGAGAUUCAACACUAGGCUCAUGUUGAAUCUAAACAAAGGUUCAUAGUCAUCCUAAGGCCCUAAGGCAACUAUAUAGUCCAUCAAAUGAAUGCAAAGUUUAUGUUAGUAGUAUCAUAUACUCUUGCUUUAAAAACUGUUUCAUAAGCAUAGUGGGAGUAUUAUAUACAACUAAAUUCAAUCAAAUGGACCAAUAGUUGUAAUAGGACCAAAAUUGUUUUAAUAAGAUUAAAAUGAAUAUUUAUAUGUGAUGAGACCUAAAACCCUCAACCAAACCAUUAUUAAGUUGACAAGCGUG
rnacentral:lncRNA from 1 species